rnacentral:rRNA from 1 species
GGGGGGAAUUUUGGACAAUGGGCGCAAGCCUGAUCCAGCAAUGCCGCGUGCAGGAGGAAGGCCUUCGGGUUGUAAACUGCUUUUGUACGGAACGAAACGGCUCUGGUUAAUACCUGGGGCUAAUGACGGUACCGUAAGAAUAAGCACCGGCAACUACGUGCCAGCAGCCGCGGUAAUACGUAGGGUGCAAGCGUUAAUCGGAAUUACUGGGCGUAAAGCGUGCGCAGGCGGUUGUGUAAGACAGGCGUGAAAUCCCCGGGCUCAACCUGGGAAUUGCGCUUGUGACUGCACGGCUGGAGUGCGGCAGAGGGGGAUGGAAUUCCGCGUGUAGCAGUGAAAUGCGUAGAUAUGCGGAGGAACACCGAUGGCGAAGGCAAUCCCCUGGGCCUGCACUGACGCUCAUGCACGAAAGCGUGGGGAGCAAACAGGAUUAGAUACCCUGGUAGUCCACGCCCUAAACGAUGUCAACUGGUUGUUGGGUCUCUUCUGACUCAGUAACGAAGCUAACGCGUGAAGUUGACCGCCCGGGGAGUACGGCCGCAAGGU